ACCGCCAACAGCGCGGUUCAUCAUUCAUUUCAUAAACGACUUCAGUUUUCCAUCUUCACUCAGAUCCUUAGCAGUGAGCUGCCUCAGAGAUUUGCCUCGGUGAUUUCUGUUUGAUAAAGUCUUCUGAAUGAACCUUGAUUGAAGGCCAUGAAAAUCUCAUUGUCUUUUCAUUUUUCGCCAAGUGUUUAUUGAAUACUCACUGUAUGAUGAACAUUGCACUAAAUGUGGAUGAGCCAAUAGCAAAGACAUCACCCCUAUGGGGAACCACGAUGGCCAGACUAUAAGCCCACCAAGGAAGAACCAGCAUGGGGCCUUCCACAUUGUCCUAAUGAGGAGCUAUUUAUAGAUUUCCUCACCAUCCUGAUUGCUGCCGAAAGAGGGGAGGACUAGCAGCUGCCAGCUGGGUCAUCUCCUUCCUGCCUGCCUGCCACUAGGUGUCAUCAGCAUCAUGUGCUAUGGAAUCUACGUCGUUGACACAGAUGGAGGGUAUAUAGAAGAGCGUAUGAAGUACCCAAAAGGGAGAGGGAAAACCAGGACCAGAUAGAAGAGAGCAAAGAGCAGGAGUCCAUUCGUGGAAGAUCUCUAGUGCCUACUGUGCAAGAGCCUAAGGAUGUAUUAGAAAAGAAGAAAGACGGAGACUUCAGAGGUAAGAAAUAUUUGAGAGGAUUUCAGAUUAUUAAAGAGUAUUUAUUGAAUUUAGAGAUUUGAUCAUGAUCUGUUUACAGAAGAGAACAUGUCAUUUAUAUUUUCCUAGUAACAACUGCAUGCAUUCAAGUAAUCCUUCCAUAAGUGGGAAGAUGCUCGGUGCAAAGAAAUGAAGAGUUGUC